UUAAGCGACUAAGCGUACACGGUGGAUGCCCUGGCAGUCAGAGGCGAUGAAGGACGUGCUAAUCUGCGAUAAGCGUCGGUAAGGUGAUAUGAACCGUUAUAACCGGCGAUUUCCGAAUGGGGAAACCCAGUGUGUUUCGACACACUAUCAUUAACUGAAUCCAUAGGUUAAUGAGGCGAACCGGGGGAACUGAAACAUCUAAGUACCCCGAGGAAAAGAAAUCAACCGAGAUUCCCCCAGUAGCGGCGAGCGAACGGGGAGCAGCCCAGAGCCUGAAUCAGUAUGUGUGUUAGUGGAAGCGUCUGGAAAGGCGCGCGAUACAGGGUGACAGCCCCGUACACAAAAAUGCACAUAUUGUGAGCUCGAUGAGUAGGGCGGGACACGUGGUAUCCUGUCUGAAUAUGGGGGGACCAUCCUCCAAGGCUAAAUACUCCUGACUGACCGAUAGUGAACCAGUACCGUGAGGGAAAGGCGAAAAGAACCCCGGCGAGGGGAGUGAAAAAGAACCUGAAACCGUGUACGUACAAGCAGUGGGAGCACGCUUAGGCGUGUGACUGCGUACCUUUUGUAUAAUGGGUCAGCGACUUAUAUUCUGUAGCAAGGUUAACCGAAUAGGGGAGCCGAAGGGAAACCGAGUCUUAACUGGGCGUUAAGUUGCAGGGUAUAGACCCGAAACCCGGUGAUCUAGCCAUGGGCAGGUUGAAGGUUGGGUAACACUAACUGGAGGACCGAACCGACUAAUGUUGAAAAAUUAGCGGAUGACUUGUGGCUGGGGGUGAAAGGCCAAUCAAACCGGGAGAUAGCUGGUUCUCCCCGAAAGCUAUUUAGGUAGCGCCUCGUGAAUUCAUCUCCGGGGGUAGAGCACUGUUUCGGCAAGGGGGUCAUCCCGACUUACCAACCCGAUGCAAACUGCGAAUACCGGAGAAUGUUAUCACGGGAGACACACGGCGGGUGCUAACGUCCGUCGUGAAGAGGGAAACAACCCAGACCGCCAGCUAAGGUCCCAAAGUCAUGGUUAAGUGGGAAACGAUGUGGGAAGGCCCAGACAGCCAGGAUGUUGGCUUAGAAGCAGCCAUCAUUUAAAGAAAGCGUAAUAGCUCACUGGUCGAGUCGGCCUGCGCGGAAGAUGUAACGGGGCUAAACCAUGCACCGAAGCUGCGGCAGCGACGCUNNNNNNNNNNNNNNNNNNNNNNNNNNNNNNNNNNNNNNNNNGAAGGUGUGCUGUGAGGCAUGCUGGAGGUAUCAGAAGUGCGAAUGCUGACAUAAGUAACGAUAAAGCGGGUGAAAAGCCCGCUCGCCGGAAGACCAAGGGUUCCUGUCCAACGUUAAUCGGGGCAGGGUGAGUCGACCCCUAAGGCGAGGCCGAAAGGCGUAGUCGAUGGGAAACAGGUUAAUAUUCCUGUACUUGGUGUUACUGCGAAGGGGGGACGGAGAAGGCUAUGUUGGCCGGGCGACGGUUGUCCCGGUUUAAGCGUGUAGGCUGGUUUUCCAGGCAAAUCCGGAAAAUCAAGGCUGAGGCGUGAUGACGAGGCACUACGGUGCUGAAGCAACAAAUGCCCUGCUUCCAGGAAAAGCCUCUAAGCAUCAGGUAACAUCAAAUCGUACCCCAAACCGACACAGGUGGUCAGGUAGAGAAUACCAAGGCGCUUGAGAGAACUCGGGUGAAGGAACUAGGCAAAAUGGUGCCGUAACUUCGGGAGAAGGCACGCUGAUAUGUAGGUGAAGUCCCUCGCGGAUGGAGCUGAAAUCAGUCGAAGAUACCAGCUGGCUGCAACUGUUUAUUAAAAACACAGCACUGUGCAAACACGAAAGUGGACGUAUACGGUGUGACGCCUGCCCGGUGCCGGAAGGUUAAUUGAUGGGGUUAGCCGCAAGGCGAAGCUCUUGAUCGAAGCCCCGGUAAACGGCGGCCGUAACUAUAACGGUCCUAAGGUAGCGAAAUUCCUUGUCGGGUAAGUUCCGACCUGCACGAAUGGCGUAAUGAUGGCCAGGCUGUCUCCACCCGAGACUCAGUGAAAUUGAACUCGCUGUGAAGAUGCAGUGUACCCGCGGCAAGACGGAAAGACCCCGUGAACCUUUACUAUAGCUUGACACUGAACAUUGAGCCUUGAUGUGUAGGAUAGGUGGGAGGCUUNGAAGUGUGGACGCCAGUCUGCAUGGAGCCGACCUUGAAAUACCACCCUUUAAUGUUUGAUGUUCUAACGUUGACCCGUAAUCCGGGUUGCGGACAGUGUCUGGUGGGUAGUUUGACUGGGGCGGUCUCCUCCUAAAGAGUAACGGAGGAGCACGAAGGUUGGCUAAUCCUGGUCGGACAUCAGGAGGUUAGUGCAAUGGCAUAAGCCAGCUUGACUGCGAGCGUGACGGCGCGAGCAGGUGCGAAAGCAGGUCAUAGUGAUCCGGUGGUUCUGAAUGGAAGGGCCAUCGCUCAACGGAUAAAAGGUACUCCGGGGAUAACAGGCUGAUACCGCCCAAGAGUUCAUAUCGACGGCGGUGUUUGGCACCUCGAUGUCGGCUCAUCACAUCCUGGGGCUGAAGUAGGUCCCAAGGGUAUGGCUGUUCGCCAUUUAAAGUGGUACGCGAGCUGGGUUUAGAACGUCGUGAGACAGUUCGGUCCCUAUCUGCCGUGGGCGCUGGAGAACUGAGGGGGGCUGCUCCUAGUACGAGAGGACCGGAGUGGACGCAUCACUGGUGUUCGGGUUGUCAUGCCAAUGGCACUGCCCGGUAGCUAAAUGCGGAAGAGAUAAGUGCUGAAAGCAUCUAAGCACGAAACUUGCCCCGAGAUGAGUUCUCCCUGACUCCUUGAGAGUCCUGAAGGAACGUUGAAGACGACGACGUUGAUAGGCCGGGUGUGUAAGCGCAGCGAUGCGUUGAGCUAACCGGUACUAAUGAACCGUGAGGCUUAACCUU
rnacentral:rRNA from 1 species